rnacentral:rRNA from 1 species
AACGAACGCUGGCGGCAUGCCUAACACAUGCAAGUCGAACGGCUCUUCGGAGCAGUGGCGCACGGGUGAGUAACGCGUGGGAACCUACCCCGAGGUUCGGAAUAACGGCUGGAAACGGCCGCUAAUACCGGAUGUGUCCUGAGGGGCAAAGGCUUGCCGCCUUGGGAGGGGCCCGCGUCCGAUUAGCUUGUUGGUGGGGUAACGGCCUACCAAGGCGACGAUCGGUAGCUGGUCUGAGAGGAUGAUCAGCCACACUGGGACUGAGACACGGCCCAG